UAGGUGUGGGGACCAUUCCACGGUUUCCGCGCCGCAGCUAACGCAUUAAGUGCCCCGCCUGGGGAGUACGGCCGCAAGGCUAAAACUCAAAGGAAUUGACGGGGGCCCGCACAAGCGGCGGAGCAUGCGGAUUAAUUCGAUGCAACGCGAAGAACCUUACCAAGGCUUGACAUGUUCUCGAUCGCCGUAGAGAUACGGUUUCCCCUUUGGGGCGGGUUCACAGGUGGUGCAUGGUUGUCGUCAGCUCGUGUCGUGAGAUGUUGGGUUAAGUCCCGCAACGAGCGCAACCCUCGUUCCAUGUUGCCAGCACGUAAUGGUGGGGACUCAUGGGAGACUGCCGGGGUCAACUCGGAGGAAGGUGAGGACGACGUCAAAUCAUCAUGCCCCUUAUGUCUUGGGCUUCACGCAUGCUACAAUGGCCGGUACAAUGGGUUGCGAUACUGUGAGGUGGAGCUAAUCCCAAAAAGCCGGUCUCAGUUCGGAUUGGGGUCUGCAACUCGACCCCAUGAAGUCGGAGUCGCUAGUAAUCGCAGAUCAGCAACGCUGCGGUGAAUACGUUCCCGGGCCUUGUACACACCGCCCGUCAAGUCACGAAAGUUGGUAACACCCGAAGCCGGUGGCCUAACCCUUGUGGGGGGAGCCGUCGAAGGUGGGACCAGCGAUUGGGACUAAGUC
rnacentral:rRNA from 1 species